GACGAACGCUGGCGGCGUGCCUCAAGCAUGCAAGUCGAGCGAGGUUUAAGGAUCUCGUAAGGGAUGUUUAAACCUAGCGGCGAACGGGUGAGUAAUACGUGGGUAACCUGCCCUUAAGUCGGGGAUAACGAUUCGAAAGGAUCGCUAAUACCGGAUAAUGUCCUGCUUACGCAUGUGAGUGGGAAGAAAGGAUUAGUCCGCUUUUGGAUGGGCCCGCGUCCCAUCAGCUAGUUGGUAAGGUAAAAGCUUACCAAGGCAACGACGGGUAGCCGGUCUGAGAGGAUGUACGGCCACACUGGGACUGAGAUACGGCCCAGACUCCUACGGGAGGCAGCAGCUGGGAAUCUUGGGCAAUGGGGGAAACCCUGACCCAGCGACGCCGCGUGAGGGAAGAAGGCCUUCGGGUCGUAAACCUCUGUCAUCGGGGACGAAGGAAGUGACUGUACCCGAGGAGGAAGCCCCUGCUAACUACGUGCCAGCAGCCGCGGUAAUACGUAGGGGGCGAGCGUUGUCCGGAGUUAUUGGGCGUAAAGGGCGAGUAGGCGGCAUGCAAAGUCAGGCGUGAAAUUUCAGGGCUCAACCCUGAAACUGCGUCUGAAACUGGCAAGCUAGAGGGCAGGAGAGGGAAGUGGAAUUCCCGGUGUAGCGGUGGAAUGCGUAGAUAUCGGGAGGAACACCAGUGGCGAAGGCGGCUUCCUGGACUGUACCUGACGCUGAGGCGCGAAAGCUAGGGGAGCAAACAGGAUUAGAUACCCUGGUAGUCCUAGCCGUAAACGAUGAGUGCUAGGUGUGGGGGGUUAAAAUCCCUCCGUGCCGGAGUUAACGCAAUAAGCACUCCGCCUGGGGAGUACGGUCGCAAGGCUAAAACUCAAAGGAAUUGACGGGACCCCGCACAAGCAGUGGAGCGUGUGGUUUAAUUCGAAGCAACGCGUAGAACCUUACCAGGGCAUGACAUCAUGGUGCCAGCUGUGGAAACACAGUCUUUCGUAGCAAUACGAACGCCAUGACAGGGUUGCAUGGUUGUCGUCAGCUCGUGUCGUGAGAUGUUGGGUUAAGUCCCGCAACGAGCGCAACCCCUAUCAUGUGUUGCCACCGAGUGAAGUCGAGCACUCACAUGAGACUGCCGGAGACGAUUCGGAGGAAGGUGGGGAUGAGGUCAAAUCAUCAUGGCCCUUAAGUCCUGGGCUACACACGCGCUACAAUGGCCGGUACAACGGGCAGCGAAAGGGCGACCUGGAGCGAAUCCCUUAAAGCCGGUCCCGGUUGGGAUCGCAGGCUGAAACUCGCCUGCGUGAACGCGGAAUUGCUAGUAAUCGUGAAUCAGCUACGUCGCGGUGAAUACGUUCCCGGGGUUUGUACACACCGCCCGUCAAGCCAUGGAAGCUGGCAACACCCGAAGUCGGUGACCUAACUCGCAAGAGAAGGAGCUGCCGAAGGUGGGGCUGGUAACUGGGGCU
rnacentral:rRNA from 1 species